UACGUAGGGGGCAAGCGUUGUCCGGAAUCAUUGGGCGUAAAGAGCGUGUAGGCGGCCAGAUAAGUCCGCUGUGAAAUCUCGAGGCUCAACUUCGAGCUGUCGGUGGAAACUGUCUGGCUAGAGUCCGGAAGAGGAGAAUGGAAUUCCUGGUGUAGCGGUGAAAUGCGCAGAUAUCAGGAAGAACACCCGUGGCGAAGGCAGCUCGCUGGGACGGUACUGACGCUGAGACGCGAAAGCGUGGGGAGCAAACAGG
rnacentral:rRNA from 1 species